ACGGUAUUUCUUAAUUCCAUUCUCAUCUACUUCUGAGAAUUCACUUCUUUUUCCUUGGUUAAAUAACACUAACGGUUCUCCAACCUUCACAUCUAUUUUCUAAGCUUCUCAAAUCUUUCCAAGAAAUGACUACUCGGUUCUAACACACUCAGUCGCUAUAAAUCCUUCCUAGGCUCUUCUCGAUCACCUAGUAAUUCCAUAUUUAAUCUCAGC
rnacentral:lncRNA from 1 species